AGCUGCUAUUUGUCAUCAUUAAGGGACUGGGCCAUUCUUCCUUCUCCUGUCCUCUAAUCACUGGCAGGGAAACUUGCCUGGAAAAAAUAGUGGGACAAAGAACAACUCAAAGUUCUGGACUUAGAAGGAACAGACUGACCGUGGUGACUGCAAGAGCAAAAGGACCACACAGUUUCCCGUUAUCCUGACACCAAGAAAGCUUGAAGAGCACCAUGAUUUAUAUACCCAUUACUCUGGGUACUGGCUUUACAUGGAUUAUUAACAAGUAUUAUCCCUUAUACCUACACGAUACAGCUCCUGUUUCCUGCUCUCAAGACUCCUCGGUUGAUUGAAAAGCUUGGAAAGCAAUGGGACCCAGCUAAGCACCAAUGAAGCACAACUGAGAAUUACACAAUCUUGGGUGAAACACUGAUAAACGGGAAGCAGGAACUAUAUUUACUGUGUGAUCCUACUGUGUGCAAGUGUCAUCCACGGCAUCUCACCUUAGCUGUAGGAAGUAAAUCAACUUAUCUUCCCGAGCUUGUCUUUCACUGCUGUGUGGAACAAUGGCAGAGAAAAUCUCAAAUUCUGAGAUAAUUAAACCUAUGUGGCUAACUUUAAUAAUUGAGGGAUAGAAGCCAGUGGCUACCUAUUUCUUCUGAAAUUCAGGAGAAUAAAUUAAGCACUUUCUAGCUGGUCGCUUCAAGGUAUCUAGCUAGAUAGAUCUCUAGUUCUCCACUGUUGUAACUAGCAUGAUAAUUUACUCUUAGAUUGGCUUGCUUUCUUCCCUUUUAUAACUUUCCCAUCCCCACUGCUAUUUCUGGGGAUCAUUUC